UGUGUGGUCUUUGGCAGCGGUGGCGUGGGGUUUGAAAGGGUUGCUUCUGAUCUUCAUCAAAAUCCCCACACUUAUUUAUUUAAAUGAUUAUUUUUACCCCAGUCAAGGCCAGAACUUCCAGGAACACGGUGCGGAACGGAGGCGGAGCGGAGUGUACUUGUGUCGGUUCUAGUAACUUGUGGUUUGCUCUGUAUAGGCCGCGAUACUUCUGAAGGUGGACUGCUGCUGCUUAUGAGACCGAAAGCUCUAGCAGCUUGGAAGAAUCAUUAAUAAAUCAAUCUCCAUUAUAUAUAGCCUGGACC
rnacentral:sRNA from 1 species